CCCGGAUGAUGUCAGCCAGCCACUCGAACUGCCGCUGGGUCCGAGUCACCCAGAUGAAGUAGAUCUGGGGACACACAGCUGGAGCUCAAGACCUAUUCGACUCAGUCCUCCUAGGUCCCAGGGGUCCCCAUAGCAACAGAACUCUUCUGACCUCAACCAGCUCGUGCCCCUCCCCAGAGAGCCCACGGAGAUGGAGUGUGUGGGCCACAGGGCCAGGCUCUGAGGCCAGAGGCACUUCCAGGUGGAAGUGACAGCCCAAGGCUGUGUGAAAGGAAAGAGCUGAGGGGCCCUCGGGUGGGAAGCAGCUUUCCCUAGCUGGGCCUGUCCUGCCACUCCAGUGGGCCCUGCUCAGGCUGUGAGGACCAAGAGGCCGAGGGACAUUUCACAGAGCAGCCUCAGGGAAGACCCAGCCAGCUGCCUGGGGCAGAUGGGAAUGGGCUCUAGAGAGACCAGGGGUUGGAAGCUGCCUUGUGGGGGAGCCCUCUCCCACUUCUGAGGGGGAGAAGCAGGGCUGUGUGGGUUAAGAAGCAGAGGCAGAGCUGGUGUGGGCAGAGGAGAGGAGGGGAGCUGUCACCCUCUGAGUGCUGACACCACAUGGGCUGGGCCUCUGCCCGCCGCAUUCCGGCACCCCUGACUCACCUACCAGGCCCAGGGAGGCGAGCAGGGGCCUGCCACCAGGUCUAGGCUGGGGUGAAGGGACCCAGUGUGGAGGGGCCUGCGGGCUUGGGCUGUGUUCCUGGGGCCAGCCCGGCCCACCGGCCCUGCCUUGUCACUUCCCCUCCUCUUCCACUUGGAAGGUGAGCCAGUUUCACCUGUGCCCCACCCCAAGUGUGCCCUUCCCUCUCCCAGCCCAAUAUGCUCCAAGUGCUGCUGGCCUGCUCUAUAAGAGGGAAUGGGUUUCUCAUCCCCCUCCAACCCUGCCUGCAGGGACUCCCAGAAGCAAAUCCUACAUGGAACACCCCAUAACUGAGGGAAGUGCCUUUGUAAACGAGGCAGGAGGCUGGAAACAUCAGCAAGCCACUUCUGUCCUUCGGGGUCUGGGGAUAUCCUGACACUUCCUCACCUGCCACCCACCUGGGUUUCAGGCCAACUUGCCCUUGCCCGGAUCUGGGAGGCCAGGAACAGAGAUAGGAGAGAGGGGCACGGAUGGCACCGUGAUCAGUAGGAAGGGGCCACGGGCUGGGGGAAGGGGAUACUCACCUUCUUACAGAACACAUGGCAGCUGACUGAUGACUUGAAGACCAGGUCUUUGAGGAUGGAGGCAAAGGGGGUGACUCCAAUGCCCCCUCCCACCAGCACUGACACUUCAAACUUAUGCCACUCCUGGUGGCCCUCUCCAAAGGGUCCAUCGAGGUACAGCUGUAGGGAGGGCAGUGGGUUUGGGUUAAGCUUGGCCACCACCAUAGUUCUGAAACCAGAAAUGAGAGGCAGGGAAAGGUUUGUGGGGUGACGGGGAAAGGGGGGCUGUGGCAUUAUCUGGAACAACCAAUCUCCAGAUGGGGGAGGGGAGGAACACCGUGGGGAGUCUGGUGCUGCAGGGCCAAAGCCUGCUAAGGGGCAGUGUGAGCAGGUGGCACAGGUGGCCUGGGUCUGGGCACCUUCGGGUAUCUGGCACAUCUGUCACCCGUUGGGGGUGAGUAGAUUUCCCUGAGGCGAGUGGUCCAGGGCCCUGCCGCCCGGAUGUGCAGGCUGAGCGUGUCCUCAUGGGGCGCGGAGGUCAGCGUGAAGGGGUGGUACUCGGUGGUCCCCAGAGCCAGGCAGGCGAUCCGCACCCACUGCCCCGACUUGUACUCAAAGCCCUGGGGCCGCUGGAACCGCAGGUAAGUCACCCCUGGGGAGGGAUGGUGGGUGGGAAGCUGCUGCCCUGAACCCAGCAACAAUGUGGGUUGUUCCCACAAUGCUCCAGAGAGUCCCCCCCCCCCACACACACACAGCCUCAGCUCUGCUUCUGGAAUAUGACAAGGGAAGGCUCCCCCCAUCAGAAGCUCACCCUGAGGAGGGCUGGGCAGCCCUGGGGCUGGUGGCCAGCAGGGCAAGGGGCAGCCUGGCCUGGGCUUCCCCACUUUCUGUGAUGAGAGCCUCAAGUCUCCUGACAAAGAGCUCUUAUUGCCAGCUUCCUCGUCCCUACCACCUCAGGCCCAGCCACCUCACUGGGCCAGGCUCUGCCCCUGCCCUGUCAUCUCCCUCAGUGCCACCAAGCUGGUCCCCUGACAGCCUCCAGGCUGGUACCUGACGGCAGCAGCUCCGCCUUCACCACGCUGAUCUCUACCUUCUUCCGACUCAGGCUCACCAGCUUGUCCCCACCAUAGAUGAGUGCCGGGACCAGGAAGAAGAUGUGGAAACGUGGCAGCUGGAUCAGGGCAAAGCUGCCGUGGAUGAUGAGCUGGAUAGAGGAGAGAGUUCGGCUCAGACACAGUGGCACCCACAACAGGGUUCCCAGACCUCGCUACUCCCAACUCCACCCUCCAAAGCAUUCUACAAGGAAUGAGACUAUUUGCCAGCUCCUGACACCACCCUAGACCAAGCCAUGUUGCCUCUCACCUGGACUCAUGCAGCAAGACCUACUUCCACUGUUUAAAGUUCAUUUUAUCAUGUCAUCCCCAGCUUAAAAGGGUUAAGUGGCCUUCCCACUGCAGUACAAUGCAGCACUCUGACCUCUUCCUGCCAGCCAUCUCCCCGUCCCUGUCCCUGUUCCUCGAGCUUGGCAAGUCCUUUCUACUCCCAGACCUUUGCCCUUGCUGUUCCCCCUGCCUGGGAUGCCCUUCCCCUGGUUGCUCCAGCUCAUUUCUCAGGUCUCAGCAGAAACACCACCUCCACAGGCCUUCCCUCAGUCCUGUCCGUCACAUCUGCCUGCUAACUCCCUCAGAGCAUUUGUCAUCAUCCAUAAUUAUUUGCUUGAAAUAAUUGUUAUUAUUUAUUUACAUGUAAUAAAUGCAAUGUAAAUUAUUUA